GACGAACGCUGGCGGCGUGCUUAACACAUGCAAGUCGAACGGAAAGGCCCUGCUUUUGUGUGGUGCUCGAGUGGCGAACGGGUGAGUAACACGUGAGUAACCUGCCCUUGACUUUGGGAUAACUUCAGGAAACUGGGGCUAAUACCGGAUAGGAGCUCCUGCUGCAUGGUGGGGGUUGGAAAGUUUCGGCGGUUGGGGAUGGACUCGCGGCUUAUCAGCUUGUUGGUGGGGUAGUGGCUUACCAAGGCUUUGACGGGUAGCCGGCAUGAGAGGGUGAACGGCCACAAUGGGACUGAGAUACGGCCCAGACUCCUACGGGAGGCAGCAGUGGGGAAUAUUGCACAAUGGGCGGAAGCCUGAUGCAGCAACGCCGCGUGCGGGAUGACGGCUUUCGGGUUGUAAACCGCUUUCGCCUGUGACGAAGCGUGAGUGACGGUAAUGGGUAAAGAAGCACCGGCUAACUACGUG
rnacentral:rRNA from 1 species